AUACGGAGGAUCCGAGCGUUAUCCGGAUUUAUUGGGUUUAAAGGGAGCGUAGGCGGACGCUUAAGUCAGUUGUGAAAGUUUGCGGCUCAACCGUAAAAUUGCAGUUGAUACUGGGUGUCUUGAGUACAGUAGAGGCAGGCGGAAUUUGUGGUGGAGCGGUGAAAUGCUUAGAUAUCACGAAGAACUCCGAUUGCGAAGGCAGCCUGCUGGACUGUAACUGACGCUGAUGCUCGAAAGUGUGGGUAUCAAACAGGAUUAGAUACCCUGGUAGUCCACACAGUAAACGAUGAAUACUCGCUGUUUGCGAUAUACAGUAAGCGGCCAAGCGAAAGCGUUAAGUAUUCCACCUGGGGAGUACGCCGGCAACGGUGAAACUCAAAGGAAUUGACGGGG
rnacentral:rRNA from 1 species